rnacentral:misc_RNA from 1 species
AACAUCGCGCACCUGCGGGAACCUGCGGAAGGAUCAUUAAAAAGAGUGUGUACCCCUCUGUAAAAUGAGUGGGUUACCUCCCGUCCUUUGUUGACCUCUUAGGAGGUUAUUUUGAACUUUCUGCUUCGGUGGGGUUAAACCUACCGGAACACCCUCAAAUUCUUAUCAUUUAAAAAUUGUUCAGUCUGAUUUUUGUUAAUAAAAACAAAAAACUUUCAGCAAUGGAUCUCAGAUCGGAAG